rnacentral:rRNA from 1 species
GAUGAACGCUGGCGGCGUGCCUAAUACAUGCAAGUCGAACGAGGUGCUUUUGUAGCAAUACGAGAGUAUCCUAGUGGCGAACGGGUGAGUAACGCGUGGAUGACCUGCCCCAAAGUGUGGGAUAACAGUCCGAAAGGAUUGCUAAUACCUCAUGUGGUUAUCGGUUUUAGAAAGCGAUAACUAAAGCAGCAAUGCGCUUUGGGAGGGAUCUGCGUCCCAUCAGCUAGUUGGUGAGGUAACGGCUCACCAAGGCGACGACGGGUAGGGGACCUAGAGAGGGUCGGCCCCCCACAAGUGGAACUAGAAACGACGGUCCAUACACCGUACGGGUGGCAGCAGGUAGGGAA